AUGAUACUACGAAUCUUCGCUUAUAUAUAUAUAUAUAUAUAUACACCCUGCACGCAUCUACAUAAAAGAUAUUGAAAUUAGUAGACUAAAUGGCAAAAUUAAGCAUGGCAAACCUUUUUUCACUUUUCCUUUUGGUUUCAGUGAUGAGAAGCGAAGUGGGUGUGGGUGAAAAAGUCUUUGAAUGUGGGCGUAAGUUUUGGGACACGGAUAACUGCGGAGGUGAAAUUUGCCGGGACCUUUGUGUGAAGAACCAUGGGAUUUCUGAACCAUGGGCAGUUGUAUGGGCAGAGUGCCAGGGAUCUCGCAGUUGUUUUUGCCAAUAUUAUUGCUUUCUAACCGGGGAGAAAAUAUAGUAAUAAUGAUGGUAGUAAUUAGACGGAAAUUCAGUUGUUUUUAUAUGAAGUUAAUAGGAAAGAAUUGUUAAAUAAUUUGACAGAUUUAACUAGAUUUUUAUUUAUCAAUUUUCGACUAUUUACUUUACAUAAAACAACUGCAUGUGAAUUUCUACCUAAUAAUAAUAAUAAGAAGAAAAAAAAUUCUAAACGAUUCCUGAUAAUUACUUCAAAA